CAAUGGAAGAACAUGGCAGGUAUUCCAUCACAGCCAAACGACAAACAGUGCGGCUAUUUUGUGAUGAGAUAUAUGAGAGAUAUCAUCCAUGAUACAAACUUGUCAUUUGCAGAUAAGUGGGCUAGGAGAGCCGACCAUGUUUAUGGUCAAGUGGAAAUUGAUGAAGUGCGUAAUGAGCUCGUGAGUUAUGUGUUGAAGAACAUCCUCAAGCUGUAAAGUAUG